rnacentral:lncRNA from 1 species
AACAGCACUUUCAUCACAGAAAUAGCAUCUAGAGCACCGCACAAUAAUAUAAGCGCGACCACAAGAUUUGUGAGACGAGAUAGGAGGAGGGGUUAAUGCUUUAUGUACUACAACAAUAGCAGGAAGCCGAUCAACCAAUAGAUUAGAUGGGAAGUGAGGGAGGAACAACAGAUCUGAAGCCCUACACAAAAAAAGACUCGAUUUUAACCAUGGUGCAUAUCAGAAACUAUUAUGAAUCUACAGAAAUAAAAAUCCAAGGCCACAGAAGUUAGAUCUCUACCUUGAAACAACCAAAGGAUGCAAAUCCAGUGAGGAUCU